GAGGAGUAGAAAGUUCAUUGUCAAUUGAUUCUUAUGGUUAUACGGAUCGAUGCAAGGACGAGAUAAAUUAAAUUUCUCUUAAACCCUGGCAAGUAUUUUGUGAAUCCUUCGCCUGACUUAAUAUUGAGAAAGAACGUAUUUUUAUAUAUAUGCUAUACAGUUCAUUCCAAAUAUUGAUUCGUUAGUAAAGUAAGUCAAUACAAUGCUUACGAGUAAGGGAGAUAAUUGGAAUGUCACAAACGGUUGCCAAACUUUUUGCCAAUUACAUGAAAUUUAUUCAGCAAAAUGUUUGCGCGUUGAACUAAGCACAUAAACAUAGUAAUAUUUCAAAGUUGGUCCAUUAAUAAUUGAUUAUAGAUCCUUGGCAACAUUAAACGAAUGAAACACACCAAAUCCAGCUGUCAGUUUAAUAACAAUAUUUUGUUGUUCGUACAUACUAUGUGUAAUUAAUUGGCGGUUAUCAGUUUGUUGCCAGCCUGCAAAGUGCCGCAGUCAUUGGCCACGAAUGCAUUAACUGAAUACCCACUACGUCCCAUUAUUCAAUUAAAAUGAAUUGCAUUCUUUAACAGUCGAUUCGGGCAUUAAAUUGAUUCAUUGACGAACAUCCAACCAGUUUUAGCAGCAAUGGAAUUCAAUUUAAUAUUAAUACGCCUUUUGCAGUAGGCAUUGCUGUUUUUAUUUUAUUUUUGCAGGGUAUGCGUUGAAAUACAUUUAUCAGAUUCAUAUUAAAGGCGAAAAUUUAAUAAUAUAUCAGACAAUACUUUGUAAAGAAAAAUCAAUAACAGUAACACUGCGGAAAUUAAAUGCGACAAUCAAUUAAAAAUUGCAAAUGAGCAUUCACGCCCCUCCAGUCAAGUGUAAAAUAUCAGACCCUUAUACGUAACGACAUAUAUCUCUAGAGCUGGCCUUUUUGGCGAAUUGGGGAUCUAUAAUUCCAGUCGAAGUUGUGGAAAACUGGUGAAAAGCGAAGGCUGCAAAUUAUUUUCAAUAAUACUUGUGAAAAUUCAUUUAAGGCUCAUUUUAUAUUUUACCCCAUUUGGUUAAAAGACGCUUGCCCAAGUUUCAUUUUAAUAGCAUUAGGUUAUGGCGAGUGCCCGACUAGGGUUGACCCUGAAUCCGGAGACGGAAUCUGAGAGAUUCCGUUUUGAAAUAAUUUCCAUAUAUUCAAUAUAGCAAAGCACAGGGCUCUGGCGAUAAAUGAGGAAAUGUAAAUUUUCAAACAAAAGUCUGCAGCUCAUAUACCUUAUAAGUUUCCUUUUCUCUGUUGAAUAGAUUUGCACUUAAUUGCAUUGCAAUUGCUUACCCAUUUCAACGUGAGCAGACAAAAAGCAUUUUUUUCUUUAAUUUUUGAUAUUUAGAAACUCUAUUUUGAUUAUAAAUUCCACACACUCAUAAACUUAUAUGAAUACCAAAACAAACUGCAUUCCAUUUGUACUGGUCUUAAGCCUGAAAUUUGUUAAUUGGAAUUCGAAUUUAAAAUCGUACCAUGGAAUGUGUUUAAAUGAACAGGAUUUUCAGUAAAACUCAGAAGCAACAAUUCGGAUUGAGCUGGGGGCUUGAGUGAACACGCCUUGCAAUAUGCGCCAUCUACAUAAAUAUCGUAGUGCAGGCACUCGAGGUUGAGGCCCAUGUUUAUCCGCUUAGGUAAACACAAGCACAGCGAACGCAGCUAGCUGUCUGGUAGGAAAGUCAAAUGAAGCGGAAGAACUUCACGUGCCGCAAUACAAAUUGAAAAUCAAUGAAACCAUGGAAAACUCCGGGCCAACAAUGCACGAUGGGCGGUUCAGCUGUAUGUUUAACCAAUUGAAAUCGCUGUACCAUAAAUCGAAGCUUCACUGCCAAAGUGGCCGUGGGGGCCGUUGUGGCACCAUCAGCGUGAAUUCAAUUGCAUGGUCCGUUUUGACCAUUUGUGGAAAUUCUAUGAAACACAACCAAUGUUUUUAGGCAUUCCAAAGAGAUACAGAUACCAAAUCGAAUAAAGUUUAUAUGAGAGUUUUCUAUGAAAUACAAAAUA